rnacentral:tRNA from 1 species
ACCUUAAAUGACUGAAAG